rnacentral:rRNA from 1 species
AGCAGCCGCGGUAAUUCCAGCUCCAAUAGCGUAUAUUAAAGUUGUUGCAGUUAAAAAGCUCGUAGUUGAAUUUCGGAAUCGACGGAUUGGUCGCGCCUUCGGUGUGUACUGGUCUUGCCGGUUUCUCCCUUCUGACGAACCACGAUGUCAUUAAUUUGGUGUCGUGGGGAAUCAGGACUGUUACUUUGAAAAAAUUAGAGUGUUUAAAGCAGGCAUAAGCUUGAAUACAUUAGCAUGGAAUAAUGAAAUAGGACGUUUGAUCUUAUUUUGUUGGUUUCUAGGAUCGACGUAAUGAUUAAUAGGGAUAGUUGGGGGCAUUAGUAUUCAAUUGUCAGAGGUGAAAUUCUUGGAUUUAUUGAAGACUAACUACUGCGAAAGCAUUUGCCAAGGAUGUUUUCAUUAAUCAAGAACGGAAGUUAGGGAUCGAAGACGAUCAGAUACCG